rnacentral:rRNA from 1 species
CCUUGCCAGCCCGCUCAAGAAACUUAAAGGAAUUGACGGGGGCCCGCACAAGCGGUGAGCAUGUGGUUUAAUUCGAUGAUACGCGAGGAACCUUACCUGGGCUCAAAUGUAUGUUGACGUAUUCUGAAAGGGAUACUUCUUCGGACAAUAUACAAGGUGCUGCAUGGUUGUCGUCAGCUCGUGCCGUGAGGUGUCGGGUUAAGUCCCAUAACGAGCGCAACCCCUAUCAUUAGUUGCCAUCAGGUCAAGCUGGGGACUCUAAUGAAACUGCCUACGCAAGUAGUGAGGAAGGUGGGGAUGACGUCAAAUCAGCACGGCCCUUACGUCCAGGGCUACACACGUGCUACAAUGGCCGGUACAAAGGGCAGCUACCUGGUGACAGGAUGCUAAUCUCAAAAGCCGGUCUCAGUUCGGAUCGGAGUCUGCAACCCGACUCCGUGAAGCUGGAAUCGCUAGUAAUCGCGCAUCAGCCAUGGCGCGGUGAAUACGUUCCGGGCCUU